rnacentral:rRNA from 1 species
UACGUAGGGUGCAGGCGUUAAUCGGAAUUACUGGGCGUAAAGCGUGCGUAGGUGGUUUGUUAAGACAGGUGUGAAAUCCCCGGGCUUAACCUGGGAACUGCGCUUGUUACUGGCAGACUUGAGUGUGGCAGAGGGGGGGUGGAAUUCCAGGUGUAGCAGUGAAAUGCGUAGAUAUCUGGAGGAACACCGAUGGCGAAGGCAGCCCCCCUGGGCUAACACUGACGCUGGAUGCCACGAAAGCGUGGGGAGCAAACAGG